AGGGGUGUGGCUUAGUGGUAGGGUGUCUGCCUGAUAUGCAUGCAGCCUGGGCUCAAUACCUAGCACCACAA
rnacentral:tRNA from 1 species